CUGCUGCAUGAUUUUUACUUUUACAUUUUAAGUGUAUUUGUAUUCUCGUACAUACUGCAUAUUGUACUUUUAACAACUAACUUAAUGGGGGAGAUGUAGGAAAUAUACCUCUGGUAGAAUUGAAUUCAAGAUCAGUGGGAAUUCGUGAGCAAACUUAUGCUCUGCAUGACUAUCAUUUCUCCAAAACCAAUCACGUCAGCAAUCCAUAUAAUUUAAAUUGCCUUUCACACUGAAUGGUUUGUGAGUAAGAUGUGCAAAAGGGAUUUGACUCUUUCAGCUGUUUCAUUUCUGUCAUGAUAAGAAAUGUCCAUUUGUAUCAUUUUAAAAUGAAUUAAUACAGUAGAUGUGCAAUGCAUGCUUCGAAUGUUUCUCACCCACUCCC